UUCCGGUUGAUCCUGCCGGAGGUCACUGCUAUUGGGAUUCGGCUAAGCCAUGCAAGCGGAGGGCGCGGUCGAAAGAUCGUGGCCCCGCACACUGCUCAGUAACACGUAGUCAACCUACCCUUGGGACGGGGACAACCUCGGGAAACUGAGGCUAAUCCCCGAUAGGUGAGGGGCGCUGGAAUGCCUCCUCGCCCAAAGCUCCGGCGCCCAAGGAUGGGACUGCGGUCUAUCAGGCUGUUGGUGGUGUAACGGACCACCAAACCUACGACGGGUACGGGCGAUGGGAGUCGGAGCCCGGAGAUGGGGACUGAGACAAGGCCCCAGGCCCUACGGGGCGCAGCAGGCGCGAAAACUCCGCAAUGCGCGCAAGCGUGACGGGGGAAUCCCAAGUGCCGUUGGUCUUAUGAUCGACGGUUUUUAGGAAGUCUAAGAAGCUUCCAGAAUAAGGGCUGGGCAAGACUGGUGCCAGCCGCCGCGGUAACACCAGCAGCCCAAGUGGUGACCACGAUUAUUGGGCCUAAAGCGCUCGUAGCCGGAUCAGCAAGUCCCUUGUGAAAUCGGGCCGCCUAACGGUUCGGCGUGCAAGGGAUACUGUUGGCCUUGAGGCCGGGAGAGGUCGGAGGUACUCCUGGGGUAGCGGUGAAAUGCUCUAAUCCUAGGGGGACCACCAGUGGCGAAGGCGUCCGACCAGAACGGACCUGACGGUGAGGGGCGAAGGCUAGGGGAGCGAACGGGAUUAGAUACCCCGGUAGUCCUAGCUGUAAGGCAUGCGGGCCAGGUGUCUAGCGCUCCUUGAGGGCGCUAGGUGCCGGAGGGAAGCCGUUAAGCCCGCCGCCUGGGAAGUACGGGCCGCAAGGCUGAAACUUAAAGAAAUUGGCGGGGGGAGCACCACAAGAGGGGGACUGCGUCAAUUGGCAUCACGCCGGU
rnacentral:rRNA from 1 species